GUAGGUGGCAAGCGUUGUCCGGAAUUAUUGGGCGUAAAGCGCGCGCAGGCGGUUCUUUAAGUCUGAUGUGAAAGCCCACGGCUCAACCGUGGAGGGUCAUUGGAAACUGGAGAACUUGAGUACAGAAGAGGAAAGCGGAAUUCCACGUGUAGCGGUGAAGUGCGUAGAGAUGUGGAGGAACACCAGUGGCGAAGGCGGCUUUCUGGUCUGUAACUGACGCUGAGGCGCGAAAGCGUGGGGAGCAAACAGGGAUUAGAUACCCUGGUAGUCCACGCCGUAAACGAUGAGUGCUAAGUGUUAGGGGGGUUUCCGCCCCCCUUAGUGCUGCAGCUAACGCAUUAAGCACUCCGCCUGGGGAGUACGGCCGCAAGGCUG
rnacentral:rRNA from 1 species